rnacentral:lncRNA from 1 species
AAACAUUGAUUUUGAGCAACGAUUGAAAAGUCCUCCUAAACCCAAUGAAAUUCAAUUCUACACCUUUCGAAGGAGCUUGAAACUAGCUCUCCGACCCCAAAAUCUUGAUCUCUAAAUGCCUUCUUCUUUUUCCUCUCCUUUCUUUUAACUCCGUGAGGUCUUCAAUUCUUCCGCCCUGGACUACAAAUUGGAACUGCAGACCUGCCUCCAUGGAAAGGACGUUUCUUUGAAAUGACAUAGAAAAUGAAACAACUUAAAAUGAAACCAAAGCCUCCGUAUUCGGGACCUCAUUCGGUUGUCCAAUCGAGUUAGGUCUCAUAAUGGGUAAGAGGCCCAUACCAGGACCUUGAUUGGAUGUCCCUGUAAUUGGAUCAAAUUGGCCCUUUAUAUCAGACUCACCUGAAUAUUGAAUUAGUCUUUU